rnacentral:rRNA from 1 species
UGGUGGAGUGAUUUGUCUGGUUAAUUCCGUUAACGAACGAGACCUCAACCUGCUAAAUAGGCUGGCAAACCUUUUGGUUUGUUUCAGUCUUCUUAGAGGGACUUUUGGUGUCUAGCCAAAGGAAGUUUGAGGCAAUAACA